AAGUCGUAACAAGGUUUCCGUAGGUGAACCUGCGGAAGGAUCAUUACCGAGAGAGGGUCCUGGCGGCCCGACCUCCAACCCCUGCGAACCCCACCCAAGUUGCCUCGGCGGGCCCGCGGCCCUCCGCCUCGUGCCCAGCGCUCGACAGCGCCCGCCGAAGGACACCUCAGAUCCCCGAACGGUGACGUCUGAGAACGCAAGCAAAUAAAGCAAAACUUUCAACUACGGAUCUCUUGGUUCUGGCAUCGAUGAAGAACGCAGCGAAAUGCGAUAAGUAAUGUGAAUUGCAGAAUUCAGUAAAUCAUCGAAUCUUUGAACGCACAUUGCGCCCCCUGGCAUUCCGGGGGGCAUGCCUGUCCGAGCGUCAUGUAGAAACUCAGGCCCGAGCCUGGUGUUGGGCCCGACGUCGCCGCCUGCCGGACCGACGAGCCCCAAACCCAUCGGCGGUGCCCUCCCCCUCACAGCGUUGCGAAACUCGCUGGGUGGCGCGGGGGCUCCUGCCAAAACGCCAAAGCGCAAGCAAGUUUGACCUCGGAUCAGGUAGGGAUACCCGCUGAACUUAAGCAUAUCAAUAAGCGGAGGAAAAGAAACCAACAGGGAUUGCCUCAGUAACGGCGAGUGAAGCGGCAACAGCUCAAAUUUGAAAUCUGGCCCCCUCGGGGCCCGAGUUGUAAUUUGCAGAGGAUGCUUCGGGCGCGGUGCCGGUCCAAGUUCCUUGGAACGGGACGCCGCAGAGGGUGAGAGCCCCGUACGCGGCCGGUGGCCAAGCCCACGUGAAGCUCCCUCGACGAGUCGAGUUGUUUGGGAAUGCAGCUCAAAACGGGUGGUAAAUUUCAUCCAAAGCUAAAUACCGGCCAGAGACCGAUAGCGCACAAGUAGAGUGAUCGAAAGAUGAAAAGCACUUUGGAAAGAGAGUUAAACAGCACGUGAAAUUGUUGAAAGGGAAGCGCUUGCCGCCAGACUUGCCCGCGGCCGAUCAGCCGGCGUUCUCGCCGGUGCACUCGGUCGCGGUCAGGCCAGCAUCGACUCGAGCGGCGGGACAAAGGCCCCGAGAACGUGACUCCCCCCGGGGAGUGUUACAGCUCGGGGCGCAAUGCCGCCAGCUCGGGUCGAGGACCGCGCUUCGGCUAGGAUGCCGGCGUAAUGGCCCCAAGCGACC
rnacentral:rRNA from 1 species